rnacentral:rRNA from 1 species
CGGAGGGUGCGAGCGUUGUCCGGAAUCACUGGGCGUAAAGGGCGCGUAGGUGGCUUCUCAAGCGCGCGGUGAAAGCCCGGGGCUCAACCCCGGGUCGGCCGUGCGGACUGGGAGGCUCGAGCACUGUAGGGGCGGGUGGAAUUCCGGGUGUAGCGGUGGAAUGCGUAGAGAUCCGGAAGAACACCGGUGGCGAAGGCGGCCCGCCGGGCAGGAAGGCUCGCAAGAGCCGGCUGACACUGAGGCGCGACAGCGUGGGGAGCAAACAGGAUUAGAUACCCUGGUAGUCCACGCCGUAAACGAUGGGCACUAGGUGCUUGGGGGAGCGACCCCCCGGGUGCCGGCGCUAACGCAUUAAGUGCCCCGCCUGGGGAGUACGGCCGCAAGGCUG